AUUGAACGCUGGCGGAAUGCUUUACACAUGCAAGUCGAGCGGCAGCACGGGGGCAACGCUGGUGGCGAGCGGCGAACGGUUGAGUAAUACAUCGGAACAUGCCCAGUCGGGGGGGCUAACACUGCCAAAGAAGUGCUAAUGCCGCAUACGUCCUGAGGGAUCACGCGGGGGAUCUUCGGACCUCGCGCGACUGCGGUGCCCGAUGUAAGAUUAGCUAGGUGGUGGGGUAAAGGCCUACCAAGGCAACGAUCUGUAGCUGGUCUGAGAGGAUGAGCAGCCACACUGGGACUGAGACACGGCCCAGACUCCUACGGGAGGCAGCAGUGGGGAAUUUUGGACAAUGGGGGCAACCCUGAUCCAGCCAUUCCGCGUGAGUGAAGAAGGCCUUCGGGUUGUAAAGCUCUUUCGGCAGGAACGAAACGGCGAGCUCUAACAUAGCUUGCUAAUGACGGUACCUGAAGAAGAAGCACCGGCUAACUACGUGCCAGCCGCCGCGGUAAUAC
rnacentral:rRNA from 1 species